AACGCACCUUGCGCUCCUUGGUAUUCCGAGGAGCAUGCCUGUUUGAGUGUCAUUAAUAUAUCAACCUUCUCUUUUUGAGUGGUUUGGAUGUGGGGGUUUGCUGGCCUCUUAAAAAGGUCUUGGCUCUCCUGAAAUACAUUAGCAGAACAACCCUGUUCAUUGGUGUGAUAAACUAUCUACGCUAUUGAAUGUGAAGGGCAGUUUGGCUUUCUAACAGUCCUUGGACAAGCUCAUCAUUAAUGUGACCUCAAAUCAGGUAGGACUACCCGCUGAACUUAA
rnacentral:misc_RNA from 3 species